GCGCAAACAUAUAUACAUUGAGUCGGGUAUGAGACAAAUACAGUAGUGUUUUGUGCUUCCUACCCUCACAUACAAGCAAUGAAAGCUGACAAAUGUCGUAUAACAUACACACACACACACACACACACACAAACCCACUCCCACUACCCCUACACUUCUUCGUACAGAUUUGGCAAUCUGACACCCUACCCGUUUUCUUCAUUCUUUGAAUCGGAUUCCAGCCGGAAUACCAUGAUUUUUAAAUAUUUUAGAAGGUAAAACUGUGUUCUUAUUUAUAUUAAUUCCCACUUGCAUUGCCAAAUAUAACGGAUGCAUGCAUCAGAAUUGUGUGAAAUGUAAUUAUGUGAAAGAACUCAAUACUGCCAGUUAGGGUGGAAUAAUAUUUAUUCAAAACUGUGUCUGUUUGAAUCGUUACUCGAAUUUCAUUCCCCAAUAAAGGGAUACGAAUCACUGAUCUUCCACUUGGUUGCCUGUUACACUAUCGACUCCAUCGGCUCUCUCUCCCUCUCUCCCUUUCACUCCUCCUCCUUUUCUUUCUAUGUGUGUGUGUGUGUGUGUGUGUGUGUGUGUGUGUGUGUGUGUGUGUGUGUGUGUGUGUGUGUGUGUGUGUGCGUGUGUGUACGCGCGCAUGUUUGUGUGAGUGUGUAUUGAUGAACUUUUGCAAGCAGAAAACCAUUCAACACAUUGAAUAUGUAUAUUUUAUCAGAAAUUAAAGCUUCUUGAAACAUAACACUGAGUUUCACGGAUCCGACUGUUCAAACGAUUAAAACCAGGAAUGCAGGAUUCCAAUUUUUAAACAAAAAUAUUCACAAACACAACUUACUAUGAUCAGACAAUACAACAAUGGAAUGUGAUUGGCUCCUGAAAAAAAACGUCACAAAAUACCUCACAUGUAUGCAUUUAUAAACAUGCGUAGAACACGUGAUAUUUUCAUCUGUACAUGUACAAGGAGAAACACUUAAUGUUUUCAGGUUUUCACUGCCAUGUGGAAAAAAAAAACAUUCAUAAGCAAGGCAACCUGCACGUAUUAACCUUUUAGUUUUGAUGAAUAUAUGAAUUUGUUUUGCUUUUUGUUUUUAAAUGUCGCUCUCUCUGCAUAUUGCAUGUCUAUUGCGAAAAAAAAAUAUAUGUUAGCCGGUUACUAGCGGAAAAUUCCUCAACAUAAUCAUAGAAAAAAACUGAAUUCUGAAGCGAAAUUUAUGGCAAAGUAAGUCUGGCUUUAAUUGUGCAGCUCAUAAUAAUGACAUAUUAAAAGACAGUAACUCGUGAGAUAGAACGCAUUACAAUAAAAAAACACUAAUAAUAAAAGCAAAAAGAAGAAAGCAGGAGAUUAUAUGAUAUAAUCCCCUCUAUAAUGUUCGCUCAAAUACUGCUAGUAUAUCCCGAAACCUUACAAAUAAGCAUUUCUCUAACGAUCAACUGUAUCAUAAAAUCUUUAAUGAAAAUAGUGCUACGGUGAACUUCAGUUGCACCAAAAGCUUCUAUGCUUCUAUAACAAGAAAACAAAAACAAAAACAAAAACAAUCCAGAACUAACCUGGAACAUGAUUCUCUUCUAUGUAAUUGUAGCAAUAUUAAUAUUGCCUUCUCAAUGAUAGGUUUCUUUCUAAAUAAAUUAUUAGUAUAUUGGGAUAAAGUCUUUCUUGCAAUGAUAUUGAAACAAAACAAUUACUUGGAGUUCACUAAAAAGCAUUUAAAAGGAAGAUUUUCACAACAUAUGUACACAUUCAGACACUCAAAAUUGGCUUUACUUCUCCAAUGUUCAGAUAUAUCUAAAGUUUGGCAGGUAAUAAUACGAACAAUUAUAAAGCAGAGUAUUCCACUUUAAAACAGGUACAGCACCUACCCUACAUCAACGAUUGUAGAAAGUGUAACCUCAGUUUCUCGGAAAAUUAUAACAACCUCUUACAGCCUUUAAAAUUUUUAAUUCAAGAUCAGAAACAAUGGAUUCUUGAACAUACUUCCAUGCUAUUUAUUGAAGAAUUUCUAGUUAUCAAUUGGCCAACACAUUUUAAUCUGACGUAAUAGAAUUACCGCACUCUGAAAGAUUGUAAAGAAAAAAAUCAUUUAUUCAAGAUUUAAAACUUUAAGAAGAACCGAUUUCCCCGUCGGGAAACUGAUUCUUCAUAAAGAGUAUUUUUAAAACAUGAUACUUCCAAUAUGGGAAUCUUCGAUCAGUCCAAAGAUUUCUAACAGGAAUGAAAAUAGUCACUGAGGAAUUAUAUUUUCAAUUUCCUCAAUAAAAACCUACACUCUAUGCCUCUACUGAGUUCUUUUUCUUCUCGAGAUACUUAUAUUUAGUGGUGUUUGCGUGUGUGCGUGCGUGCGUGUGUGUGUGUGUGCGUGCGUGCGUGCGUGUGUGUGUGUGCGUGUGCGCGUGCGGGCGGGCGUGAAUGUAGGCGUAUAGGUGUGUGAAUAAGAGUAUGUCAGUAAUUGCCACAUAUUCUAAAAACUUUUUAUUUUGUAAAAACAGUUUCACAAUUCAUAUUAAAAUUAAACAUCUUACAGUAAUACAUGUAAAGCUUCUCGACCUUCUACCGAAGCAUUUCAAAAUAUAUUCUUCGUUAUUAUAACACUCGAUGUAGCGAUUUUUUAAGUGUUUUUAAAUUUCCUUUCUUUUUUCUUUUAUUUAGAAUAGAAGUUUUUUAAAUGGUACGUCUUCCAAAAUUUACUGUAACUGGCAAGGAUUAUAGAUGUUAGAAAAUGAAAAUAAAGAAUGAAAAAUACAUAUUCAUUUGCCAUCAAGUUGAACUCUCAACAAGAAUAAAAUGUUGUUUUUUUUCGCCAUCUUUCUCAUAGGUAAAAUUUUAAAAUUUCACUUGCUUAAAUGGAAAACACUUUCUGGUGUACAAUACUAUAGUUAUUUCUUGUGGGAAGCCUAGCAUUUUUCUGUUCAUAUUAUAUAUUACUACAUCACAAUUUUGUUGCUAUAUUCUUCAGAAUAACAUAGAGCAUAGGAAUUCGUAGGGAAGUGUGUAAAGUUUUGUGCAUAUGCAUCUAUCUAUCUAUCUAUCUAUCUAUCUAUCUAUCUAUCUAUCUAUCUAUCUAUCUAUCUAUCUAAUUAUCUGUAUGCAUGUAUGUCUAUGUGUGCGAGUCUGUGUGUGUGUGUGUGUAUGUGUGCGUGCGUGUGUGUGUGUGUGUGUGUGUGUGUGUGUGUGUGUGUGGAUUUAAAGGCAGCUGGUUAGGGUGUUGCACUUAUAAUAUAAAGAUCGUGCUUUCGAUUCCCAGUCACUUCAUUUCACGUUACUCCAGUCCACUCUGCUGUAAAUACAUAGACCUGCAACGGACUAGCGUCCUGUUCAGGAGGAAUGUUGGCCCACCCGCCUAGUCGGUCGGGUGACAUCAUUCGAAAGCUAAAAGAAUGCGAAGCACAUUGUGACCAGCGGUUUAUAACGAUAUCCGAUAGUCUGGUCGAUUCCGUGAUAUUACCAUAUUAUUAGGUUUAAAUUAGGACAUUUAUUACUUUUUAGCGGAUAAUAUAUCGGUUUGUAGUUAUUAAUUUUUAAUUUUUGAUUAGAUAACCCUAUUAUUUUUGUGGUUAGUUUUUGUCUCAUUAAAUUUAUCUGUCAUUUCUAGAUAUUUACAUAUCGUGAAUUGUAAUGUUAAUAAAACGCCGAAGUGGUUAUAUAUAUAGUUAAUCCAAACAAGAAAACACAGAAAAAAAGAGAAAAAAACACAGCAACGCAGGACGUGGAACAAUUAAAGUAUUAUUGACGCUCAGGAAAGAAGGGAAGGAGGGUUUAACGUUUCGAGCGGAGCUCUUCGUCGGAAACAAGGAGAAGGAAAGAUCCCAAGGAGGGAAGACAGAGGAGAAAAUAUUUGAGCUGGUGGUGCUCAAGAGAUCACAUUCUCGUUUUGAAUAUCUGGCGUUCUUGUUAUCUUUCAUUCUAUUAUUAUUUUGUCCGUUCCGGUCCGGGCUAUGAAAGGUCUUUGUAUAUUUUAGUUAGUCGUAAUUAUUCAGACCAGUAUGUAAUUCUUGACAAAGAAUCUAAUCUUUAAUUCAUGAAGACUUUUUCGUUUUUGUCUUUGGAAUUAAUUAGACUCCGAAACAGUUUGUAGAAUGUAUAUUGGUUCUGUAUCAAUUUGGAUUAUGUAUAAAAGUUCGUCUACACUUACAAUUUUCCUUUCCUUAGACUUCAUCUAUAUAUAUAUAUAUAUAUAUAUAUAUACAUAUACACACAUACACACAUAUAUAUAUGUAUGUAUAUAUGGAUGCAUCUAUCUAUCUAUCUAUAUAUAUAUAUGUGUGUGUGUGUGUGUGGUAAAGUUCAUUUGCCAACGGAAUGUGGCGGUCCUAUAGAGGACGAUGUUACUGUUGUUUAAACUCCAGAAAAAUAUUUUUUCUAGCUGGCUUUCGACACAGUCUGUGUCCGUAUAGUGUCAUCACUCCCAUCUCCACCUUUAAGUGAUUGUCACAGACCAUGGCUUCUGGGUGGAUACCCGUCCUCAGUGUGAAGCAAUCAAUGGCUGUUGAUGAAAGCUUUCUCCACUCACAAACACUAUAUAUUCUCUAAGCGACAUACAGUCGCUGAUCUCGUACAGAGAAAAACAACUUGUUUUUAAAUCUCUCAGCGAGAGAUAUACAGUAACAGUACCGAAUAGUAAUGUUUAUUUGUCAACAGAAUGUAGCGGUCCUAUACAGGGCGAUGGUCAUGUUGUUUAAGCCCCAGGAAAACAUCUUUUCCAGCUGGCUAUCGACAGAGUCUGUGUCCGUAUAGUAUUUGCAAGGGAGGUCAUCGCUCCCGUCUCCAGCCUUACGUGAUACUCACAGACCAUAGUUUCUGGGUGGUUAUCUCAGUGUGAGAUAAUCACUGGCUGUUAAUGAAAUCUUUUCUCCACUCACAAACACUAUGUAUUCUUCAAGCAACACACAGUUGCUCAUCUCGUAUUGAGAAAAGCAACUUGUUUUAAAUCUCUCAGCGAGAGAUAUACAGUAACACUACCGAAUAGUAAAGUAUAUUUGCCGGCAGAAUGUGGCGGUCCUAUAAAGGACGAUAUAUAUAUAUAUGUAUAUAUUUAUAUAUAUAUAUAUAUAUAUAUAUAUAUAUAUAUAUAUAUAUAUAUAUAUAUAUAUAUAUAUAAUUGUUAUCGCCAUAUUAAUAUGGCAGUCUUAUAGAUAUAAGACUAAAAGCUGUCGCUGAUUAGCUCCAUGAGGCCAUCGCCUUAAGAUAGCUAUUUGACACACAAACUGUGUCCAUUAUAUAUAUAUAUUUGGCAUGAAUAUGUAUUUUGUAAGUCUUUGUAUAUGUGUAAGUGAGCGUAUGUUUGUACUUAAGCAUAUACAUACACGAAUGUAUGUGUAUGCAUGUAUCCACUUGGGCCUGUGUGUUUGCGUACUUGUCUCUAUACAUGUGUCAGUAUAUGUGCUCACAUAAUUUGUAUACAAAAUUCUUUUCUUCUUUCCUUUCCUUCUUUUUCCAUUCUCUCUUUUUCUUUUUUUCUCUCUCUUCCUUUCUUUGGUUUUUUUUCUCUCCCUAUUCGUUACUUGUAUAGAGCCCUGUAACUUUACGUCCCCCUCCCCCUCCCUUUAGCUUUACGUUGUAAAUAAGAACGCCCCUUCCCCAUCCAUGAAUUUACCUUAUAGUUUAUAUGGAUACAGUGAUUUUGCAUACGAGCUAGAUUGCGUAUACAUAUGCGUACAUGCAUUUGUGUGUAUAUUUUAGUUUUGUAUUUAUAUGUCUGUAUAUGUAUGUGGUCUGCGCACAUCUAUCUGUGUAUGUUGAUGUAUAUAUGUAUAGUCUAGUAUGAGUAUGUACUGUUGUGUAAUAUUUUAAUGCAUUUUAAUAUUUUAAUUUCAAUUUCCAUGUAUUAAUUAUAUUUUCUUUAUUAAUGACAAUAUGUAUUUUAACCAAAGAUUCGAUGUAAGGUUUUUUCCUCGACUUUUAUAAUUUUUAUAUAUUUUUUUUUUUUUUUUGAGCUCAUUUUUGUUUAUCGCUCGAAAUUGACCGUUAUUUAAAAGGACCAAUCAAACAAGUCCAUUUUUAAAAGUGUAGCGUUUAUACUAGCCUUGAUAGAAUUGGCAUAUCGGUUCUAUUCUAGCAAAAACCGUCCGACGAACGGGAACGUGAAACUCAGAGUAACAGAUUUUGUUGAAUUUUCUGCUGCUUUUAAAUAAAGUAUAUAUAUAUAUAUAUAUAUAUAUAUAUAUAUAUAUAUAUAUAUAUAUAUAUAUGCAUGCAUGCAUGUAUGUAUGUAUGUAUGUAUGUAUGUAUGUAUUUAUGUAUGUGUAUAUAUAUAUAUAUAUAUAUAUAUAUAUAUAUAUAUAUAUAUAUAUAUAUAUAUAUAUAUAUAUAUAUAUAUAUAUAUAUAAUAAUUAAUAAUUCUCUAAAUGAGAUAUAGACAGUGACUGCUCCAUAACAUAAGGGACAAUAGCCAACUGAAUAUGGCUAGGGACAGGGCAGGGUGGUGGGGGUGUCACUGUUGCAUUUAGCCCCAGGCGAACAUCAACGUCACCAGAUAGGCCGACGCCAUCACAGCGUCCUCUAUCUUGCAAAGGGAGAUCAUUCCCCAAGAAGCGGAUGCCACACACGGACCUAGGUUUCAAGGUGUAUUGCAUAUUAUCAACGUGUGGUAGGCACCGCCUCUCGACGAACGACUCACCGUGCAAGAUAUAUAUAAAGAUUUUCAAGUAAAUACAUUUACUGAUUUCGAAAAUCUGUUCGACAGCAAUAAUAAUUCUCUAAAUGAGAUAUAGACAGUGACUGAUCCAUAACAUAAGGGACAAUAGCCAACUGAAUAUGGCUAGGGACAGGGCAGGGUGGUGGGGGUGUCACUGUUGCAUUUAGCCCCAGGCGAACAUCAACGUCACCAGAUAGACCGACGCCAUCACGGCGUCCUCUAUCUUGCAAAGGGAGAUAUAUACAUGCAUAUAUGGGUACAGGACACCAAAAAAACGUCGAACACAAUGAGAAACGAAAACAUAAACAUAAAAACAAGGAAAUGGAUAUUUCUUUUAAACAACGAAAAAAUAGAGUACAGGACAUACAAAACAAGGAAAAUUCCCCUUCUUCAGUCGCCUUAGUUUCAUCUACUCCACGUUUCGAAGGUCAAGGCGAUACAUGACUUCGAUAAAACCUUCCUUCCUGCGAAAAUCAAAUUAAACAAAAUUUGAGAUCCUCCUGCGGAGGGGCAAAAAUGGCAACAAAAACAGGACAGCAACGACGGUACAAAACAUAAACAGUAAAAGACAGGACACGGAGAACAACAGCAACACAAACAAGAAGGGCUGUUAAGCCAAACGAGAUAAAAAAAAUUUUUACGAACGCUAUUUUUUGAGAACGGCAGAGAGCAACAGAUUUUACCGUCUCUACUUGAAGGAAGCCAGGAGAAGAAAGACAGUGGGACCCAUCUCAUCACAUGGCCGCGAUGGGAGGGAGGAGGAAGAGUAAGAGAAAGGGAGAGAAAAAAAGGAAUGGUUGUAGAGAAAAGAAUGAAGAAUGAGAGAGAGAGGGAGAGACAGUAAGGUAGAAGAAAAGGAAGGCCAAAAGAAUGAAGGCUGAGA
rnacentral:lncRNA from 1 species